CUACAGAGGGUGCAAGCGUUAAUCGGAAUUACUGGGCGUAAAGCGCGCGUAGGCGGUUUGUUAAGUCGGAUGUGAAAUCCCUGGGCUCAACCUGGGAACUGCAUUCGAAACUGAUUGACUAGAGUAUGGUAGAGGGUGGUGGAAUUCCUAGUGUAGCGGUGAAAUGCGUAGAUAUUAGGGGGAACAUCAGUGGCGAAGGCGACCACCUGGACCAAUACUGACGCUGAGGUGCGAAAGCGUGGGGAGCAAACAGGAUUAGAUACCCCGUAGUCC
rnacentral:rRNA from 1 species